UAAAUUACUAUUGCAACAUCAUAUCAGCUGGUAUCCUUAGGGUAAAAUUAACCUGUCUCACAACGGUCUAAACCCAGCUCACGUUCCCUAUUAG